rnacentral:lncRNA from 1 species
UGUUAUCAUACAUGAAGAAUGUGAGAUCAAGCUGAUGGAGGCAGAGCAAAUGCUUUUUGACAUUAGUAGCCAUAAAAAUUCACACUAAACUACCUGACAACAAUUGGUACUGCACAUUUUUACAACCUCUGCCGAAAGAUUUAACAAUAGCUUCUACCCAUCACAUGUCGAUAAACCUGGUCUACAUAGUGAAGCUAAAACCAGGCCUACAUUGCACAGCAACUCAAUAGACCAUCACCAGUCUCUUACUGGAAGAACGAGAGUAAUAUAUGCAAAACAUCUUUCAAGGUUUAACAGAUGGUUCAAAUAACUAAGAUACAUAUAAAAGAAUGGCAUUGUAGCAAGCGGAAGGUAUGCAGAAAAAUAAGCCUCAUAAGAUCUACCCAAAUUGUAGCAUUACACCUACAGCAUAUUAGACGAUUCAUGAGCAUUCAUCGCACAGAUUUUCCUGAAAAGCAAAGUCUGCGGAAAUUGACACGAAAAUCAUACUUGUAGACCUAUAUAUUAGCAAUAAUUAUUUUUUCUUCUGUCUUCAAUGGUGUCCAAUGAUAAGGUGUCCAAUGAUAAGGGUGAGGCAGUUAAUUAACAUCCAGCCCAGUGAAGAUUCAAGCCUGCAAAAUCAUUUCUUGAAUACAAAUUUACUUCAGAAAUCUUGAAACAAUAGUCAAAACAUCCAAUCGCAGUAAAAAAAAAAAAACACGAGCACACACAGAGAGACCCACAAAAAUGAGAAAAUAGUGCAAAAAAAUACAAAAACGAGUCAGAAAUCUCGUGUGGAAAGUGCCGCUCACUGCACCACAAGCAAUAUGGUGCUGCGUUUGCACAUUUUAGAGAUUAUCAUCAUCCAUUUCCUUUGCAUAUCUUAAUUUUUCAACAACCAGAAAAAAAAGGAAUUUGUCCCAAAUAAGUAUUGCCCAUUUUUUGCCAUAUACUGAGGGAAACCAAAGAUUAAUUACUAAAUCAGAGCAGGUUAUAGGAGAAAUCAAGAGGAUCUGCAAGAGGGUUUCGCAGGAUAUCCUUUGAGAGGAAAAGGGUUCUCUUCAUUCGGAUCGCGGGAGGGGUUUAAUAGGAGAAGAUCUUCAUCAGAGUUGUGGCGUGGCGGCUAUAGAGGCAAUGUGAUCAGAGGAAAACGUAUAAACCCUUCUUUUCAAUUUGGAUAAAUUGCAGUUACCCCCUCUAAAUUUUGACUAAUUGGAGAUACUUCCUGUAUUUUUAUGUGGUGUUUUAUCAUGUUUUACUUUGAGCCUUCUUGUGAUUGAUUGAUCCUGUAUAUCCUUCCAUUACAAAAGAAAUUGCAAAAGAUCUACUAGUUUUAUGAAGUAAUUGGUGCUUGAUGAUGCCUUUAGUUUUUUUUUAUGGUAUUUUUGUUGGGAUUAGUGGCGUAAUCUUGGUUUGUCAAAUUCAUUAAAAACUCUGACGUAACAUCUAAACUUGUUAGUAAUAAAAAAAAUGAAGCUAUUGCCAGAAAAAUUUAAGUACUAAUAUAAUGGAAUGUCAAGAAAGAAGGUUGGUGCAAAAUAUCAAUGUAAUUCAACCAAAUUGCUAUUCCUCUUUUUCGGAUAAUCCCAAUUACCAGAACCAGCAGGAAAUGCAGGACAAACAUAAGAUUUUCCCCAUGUCUCCCCAUAUGGUGUUGAUACAAGUUAUAAAAUGCACAAGUACUCAGGAAUAUAACAGUUCACUUAGUGUAACAAGGGACAGGCUCUUGGAAGCUGAUUUUUUUCUUGAUAUGUGUCCAGAAACUUGUUGCAUCGUCGGCCGAAACUGGGGACUUGUAUGAACACAUGCAAUUGCUAGUUUUGCAGCUAGUACCA